rnacentral:rRNA from 1 species
UACAGAGGGUGCAAGCGUUGUUCGGAAUUAUUGGGCGUAAAGGGCGCGUAGGCGGUGCGGUAAGUCUUUUGUGAAAUCUCCGGGCUCAACUCGGAGUCUGCAAGAGAAACUGCCGUGCUGGAGUAUGGGAGAGGUGAGUGGAAUUCCCGGUGUAGCGGUGAAAUGCGUAGAUAUCGGGAGGAACAUCAGUGGCGAAGGCGGCUGCCUGGCCCAAUACUGACACUAAGGUGCGACAGCGUGGGGAGCAAACAGG